rfam:Salmo salar isolate Sally breed double haploid chromosome ssa09, whole genome shotgun sequence.
AAUGCACCAAUUUGAAAGUCUCUCUGGAUAAGAGCGUCUGCUAAAUGACGUAAA